rnacentral:rRNA from 1 species
GACGUAGGGCGCGAGCGUUGUCCGGAUUUAUUGGGCGUAAAGAGCUCGUAGGCGGCUUGUCGCGUCGACUGUGAAAACCCGUGGCUCAACCAUGUGGUCUGCAGUCGAUACGGGCAGGCUAGAAUUCGGUAGGGGAGACUGGAAUUCCUGGUGUAGCGGUGAAAUGCGCAGAUAUCAGGAGGAACACCGACGUGAAGGCAGUUCUCUGGGCCGUAACUGACGCUGAGGAGCGAAAGCGUGGGGAGCGAACAGG